GGCUGCAACUCGCCUACAUGAAGUCGGAGUUGCUAGUAAUCGCGGAUCAGAAUGCCGCGGUGAAUGCGUUCCCGGGUCUUGUACACACCGCCCGUCACACCAUGGAAGUUGGGGGCGCCCGAAGUUGCCUAAGAAAUAAGGUACCUAAGGCGAAACCAAUGACUGGGGUGAAGUCGUAACAAGGUACC
rnacentral:rRNA from 1 species